AUUGAACGCUGGCGGCAUGCCUUACACAUGCAAGUCGAACGGUAACAGGUUAAGCUGACGAGUGGCGAACGGGUGAGUAAUAUAUCGGAACGUGCCCGGUCGUGGGGGGUAACGUAGCGAAAGCUACGCUAAUACCGCAUACGAUCUACGGAUGAAAGCGGGGGAUCGCAAGACCUCGCGCGAUUGGAGCGGCCGAUAUCAGAUUAGGUAGUUGGUGAGGUAAAGGCUCACCAAGGCGACGAUCUGUAGCUGGUCUGAGAGGACGACCAGCCACACUGGAACUGAGACACGGUCCAGACUCCUACGGGAGGCAGCAGUGGGGAAUUUUGGACAAUGGGCGAAAGCCUGAUCCAGCAAUGCCGCGUGCAGGAUGAAGGCCUUCGGGUUGUAAACUGCUUUUGUACGGAACGAAACGGUGAGCUCUAAUACAGUUUGCUAAUGACGGUACCGUAAGAAUAAGCACCGGCUAACUACGUGCCAGCAGCCGCCGUAA
rnacentral:rRNA from 1 species